rnacentral:rRNA from 1 species
CAGAGGGUGCAAGCGUUGUUCGGAAUUACUGGGCGUAAAGGGCGUGUAGGCGGUUUAGCAAGUCAGAUGUGAAAUCCCGGGGCUUAACUCCGGAAGUGCAUUUGAAACUGCUAGGCUAGAGUGCAGUAGAGGAUGGUGGAAUUCCCAGUGGAGAGGUGAAAUUCGUAGAUAUUGGGAGGAACACCGGUGGCGAAGGCGGCCAUCUGGGCUGUAACUGACGCUGAGGCGCGAGAGCGUGGGUAGCAAACAGGAUUAGAUACCCUGGUAGUCCACGCUGUAAACUAUGGAUACUCGCUGUGGCUGGUAUUGACCCCGGCCGUAGCCAAGUUAACACGUUAAGUAUCCCGCCUGGGGAGUACGGUCGCAAGAUUA